rnacentral:rRNA from 1 species
UAAUGUAUGGGGAUCUGCCCGAUAGAGGGGGAUAACUACUGGAAACGGUGGCUAAUACCGCAUAAUGUCUACGGACCAAAGCAGGGGCUCUUCGGACCUUGCACUAUCGGAUGAACCCAUAUGGGAUUAGCUAGUAGGUGGGGUAAAGGCUCACCUAGGCGACGAUCUCUAGCUGGUCUGAGAGGAUGAUCAGCCACACUGGGACUGAGACACGGCCUAG